rnacentral:rRNA from 1 species
AGCGAACGCUGGCGGCAGGCCUAACACAUGCAAGUCGAACGAACCCUUCGGGGUUAGUGGCGGACAGGUGAGUAACACGUGGGAACGUGCCUUUAGGUUCGGAAUAACUCAGGGAAACUUGUGCUAAUACCGAAUGUGCCCUUCGGGGGAAAGAUUUAUCGCCUUUAGAGCGGCCCGCGUCUGAUUAGCUAGUUGGUGAGGUAAUGGCUCACCAAGGCUACGAUCAGUAGCUGGUCUGAGAGGAUGACCAGCCACAUUGGGACUGAGACACGGACCAAACUCCUACGGGAGGCAGCAGUGGGGAAUCUUGCGCAAUGGGCGAAAGCCUGACGCAGCCAUGCCGCGUGGAUGAUGAAGGUCUUAGGAUUGUAAAAUCCUUUCACCGGUGAAGAUAAUGACUGUAGCCGGAGAAGAAGCCCCGGCUAACUUCGUGCCAGCAGCCGCGGUAAAAC